CGGAGGUCCUCUCCAGACCGCGCCACCGCCACUUUGUCCUGAGCAGGGAAAGGCUCGUUCAGUAGAUCCCGAAGCUGUAACUCGAGAGGUUGAAAGCCAGCCCAGCAGGCACGACAGCCCCUGGGAGCCCCAAAGGGGAACACGUCUGAGAUCCUGGAGACCCUGGAGACGGACAAGACACAAGGACCUGGAUGUGGAUGGGCAGAUCAAAGGUCACAGUGGGAAAGCUCAUGCAGUAUACGCUGAAACAGCUUGGCAGAUACCGUGCCUGUAAGUCCCAGUACUAAGACGCAGAAGAGGGAACGUUUUAAGCCUGGACUUGCCUUGAAUUCUUAGCAAUCCUCCUGCCUCAGCCUCAGGAGCACUGGAAUUGCAGACAUGCACCAUCAAGCCUCGCUUUACCUCUAAAACUUUGCUACAUUCAAGAUGGCAUGUGGACAACUUCAAACCUACUAUAAAGUUGUCCACACGCACGGCCUCAGGAGUAACACGACCGGAACUGCUCAGGACUCAGGAUUCUUCUUCGGCUCUGGCGGUCUCUAAGAACAGAGGGCACAGUGCUGCAUUAGGGCAGCAAACAAAAGCAUCCCCUCCCAACUCAGACAGCUGCUCCAGGGAGGACACAGAAGGGUCGUGGUCUUUUAAUAUGACUGGCAGUUGUAAAGUUUUGUCUUGAAUUCGUCGUGAGCGUCUCACUGGUAUCAGAAACUUUAGCUCUUUAAAUGUAGAAUUUUUAUCAUGUUGUAUCUUUUUAAUACUUUGCAACUGUGGCUAAAUCUGUGAGCUUUUCCAUUUCUAGCAAUGAUUUUUUAAACACCAAAUGGGAUUAAAAAAAAAACAAUAAUUGGAAAAACA